UGAUGGGAGUGAACCACCAUUAAUCCAGUGACCUCAACACCAUGAAACCAUUAUUUCACAAGGCAGGAAAAAAGUUAACAAGCACACUUCAAAUCUGCAUCAUUAAGAGCUGGUUCCAUGUGUACUGCCGUGAGGGUCCAGGUCCCACAGAGCUCAGUGAAGGAGAAAGCAUUUGUUGUGAAGAGAUACAGAUAUCCUGAAAUAAACUUCUAUGUAAGAG